rnacentral:ncRNA from 1 species
GAGUUUGAUGGUGGCUCUGAAUGAACGCUGUCCAAGUGCUUGACACAUGCUAAUCGAACGUCUAAUUUAACCAUGUGGCGUUAAGUCACUAAUUUGAUUAGAAGUGGUGUACAGGUGAGUAUUUAAUAUUUUGGCUGCCUUAAAGAAAGGUAAAAUACCUUAUAAAAAUAGGAAGAAGAAAGGAAGUAAGUUUCCGCUUUAAGAGGACAAUAAAUAUUUCGGAUAGGUAGUAGUUAAGGUAAUGGCUUAACUAGCUUGAAAUUCCGUAGUCGAGACUGAGAGGUCGAUCGAUCACAUUGGGUCUGAAAAAACCCCAAUACGUAUAGUACAGCAGUGGGGAAUAUUGGUCAAUGGCCGCAGAGGCUGAACCAGCAACUUGGGGGAAUGUAUAGCUCCGGCUAACUAUAUUUAGUUUUUUAUUAUAGUAAUAAAAAGUGUAAAUAUUUUAUAUAUUGAAAAAAUAUAGUAUCGAUUUUGUCGAAUAAAGUUCUAGAUAGAAUACUGAUCAUGACUAUUUUCUAUCUAUAUGUCUUGACCAAAUUACGUGCCAGCAGUCGCGGUAAUACGUAGAAGACUAGUGUUAUUC